rnacentral:rRNA from 1 species
UGGGGAAUCUUGCGCAAUGGGCGAAAGCCUGACGCAGCCAUGCCGCGUGAAUGAUGAAGGUCUUAGGAUUGUAAAAUUCUUUCAGCGGGGACGAUAAUGACGGUACCCGCAGAAGAAGCCCCGGCUAACUUCGUGCCAGCAGCCGCGGUAAUACGAAGGGGGCUAGCGUUGCUCGGAUUUACUGGGCGUAAAGGGCGCGUAGGCGGAUUGACAAGUUGGGGGUGAAAGCCCGGGGCCCAACCUCGGAAUUGCCUUCAAAACUGUCAGUCUUGAGUUCGGGAGAGGUGAGUGGAACUCCGAGUGUAGAGGUGAAAUUCGUAGAUAUUCGGAAGAACACCAGUGGCGAAGGCGACUCACUGGCCCGAUACUGACGCUGAGGCGCGAAAGCGUGGGGAGCAAACAGGAUUAGAUACCCUGGUAGUCCACGCUGUAAACGAUGAGUGCUAGUUGUCGGCAGGCAUGCCUGUCGGUGACGCAGCUAACGCAUUAAGCACUCCGCCUGGGGAGUACGGUCGCAAGAUUAAAACUCAAAUGAAUUGAC